AUUGAACGCUGGCGGCAGGCUUAACACAUGCAAGUCGGACGGUAACAGGGAGGAAGCUUGCUUUCUUUGCUGACGAGUGGCGGACGGGUGAGUAAUGCUUGGGAAUCUGUUUUAUGGAGGGGGAUAACUACGGGAAACUGUAGCUAAUACCGCGUAAUAUCGAGAGAUUAAAGUGUGGGACUGUAAGGCCACAUGCCAUAGAGUGAGCCCAAGUGGGAUUAGGUAGUUGGUGGGGUAAAGGCCUACCAAGCCGUCGAUCUCUAGCUGGUCUGAGAGGAUGACCAGCCACACUGGGACUGAGACACGGCCCAGACUCCUACGGGAGGCAGCAGUGGGGAAUAUUGCACAAUGGGCGCAAGCCUGAUGCAGCCAUGCCGCGUGAAUGAAGAAGGCCUUCGGGUUGUAAAGUUCUUUCGGUGGUGAGGAAGGUUGUAAUGUUAACAGCAUUAUAAUUUGACGUUAGCCACAGAAGAAGCACCGGCUAACUCCGUGCCAGCAGCCGCGGUAAUACGGAGGGUGCGAGCGUUAAUCGGAAUAACUGGGCGUAAAGGGCACGCAGGCGGAUACUUAAGUGAGGUGUGAAAGCCCUGGGCUUAACCUAGGAAUUGCAUUUCAUACUGGGUAUCUAGAGUAUUUUAGGGAGGGGUAGAAUUCCACGUGUAGCGGUGAAAUGCGUAGAGAUGUGGAGGAAUACCGAAGGCGAAGGCAGCCCCUUGGGGGAAUACUGACGCUCAUGUGCGAAAGCGUGGGGAGCAAACAGG
rnacentral:rRNA from 1 species